rnacentral:lncRNA from 1 species
GUCCCCUUUCUUCUGUUAUGCUUUGCUGCCAAUGCAUGUUGUGAUCACACUGAGGAAAUUCCUUCUUUUUAUACUGUGCACUGGCUCGAAUUGCAUUAUUUUGCUGCAAAAGGAAAAGAAGAAACAAAUACCUAAGCAACAUGCCUAGGAGUGACAUUUCCUGAUUUUAGCAAAUUAGAAAUGACGCAAGCUGAUACGAAUUUAAAUUACAAAAGUUUUUUAACGUGUUGAGCAAAAGUAAAAUUCUUUGCGAUGAGUUAAUGAGUGAAUGGCACGAUUCAGUAGGAGUAUAAAACCCAAAUUUGAUAUGCAAACAUGUUGCAACGAAUCGUUGGC